UCGGAUUGCAGCUGCAACUCGACUGCAUGAAGCCGGAAUCGCUAGUAAUCGCGGAUCAGAAUGCCGCGGUGAAUACGUUCCCGGGUCUUGUACACACCGCCCGUCACACCAUGGGAGUCGGAAAUGCCCGAAGCCGGUGGCCUAACCGAUAAGGGAGGAGCCGUCGAAGGCAGGUCUGAUGACUGGGGUGAAGUCGUAACAAGGUACC
rnacentral:rRNA from 1 species